UACAGGGGGUGCAAACGUUGCUCGGAAUCAUUGGGCGUAAAGCGCACGUAGGCGGUCUGUUAUGUCGGAUGUGAAAGCCCUCGGCUCAACUGAGGAAGUGCAUCCGAAACUGGCAGGCUAGAGUACUAAAGAGGGUCGCGGAAUUCCCGGUGUAGAGGUGAAAUUCGUAGAUAUCGGGAGGAACACCGGUGGCGAAGGCGACUUCCUGGCCUGUUCUUGACGCUGAGGCGCGAAAGCUAGGGGAGCAAACGGG
rnacentral:rRNA from 1 species